GGCAGUGUGAUAUAGUGGUUUGAGUUGGGACUACGACUCUGGAGACCAGGGUUUGAAUCCCGGCUUGGCCA